rnacentral:rRNA from 1 species
UACGUAGGGGGCGAGCGUUGUCCGGAUUUAUUGGGCGUAAAGAGCGUGUAGGCGGUUCGGUAAGUCUGUCGUGAAAUCCUGAGGCUCAACCUCGGGCGUGCGAUGGAUACUGCCGGGCUAGAGGAUGGUAGAGGCGAGUGGAAUUCCCGGUGUAGCGGUGAAAUGCGCAGAUAUCGGGAGGAACACCGGUGGCGAAGGCGGCGACCUGGGUCGAUACUGACGCUGAGGCGCGAAAGCGUGGGGAGCGAACAGG